GACGAACCGUGCGAACGUUAUUCGGAAUCACUGGGCUUAAAGCGCGUGUAGGCGGAUGGGAUCGUCGGUAGUUGAAAGCCCCCGGCUCAACCGGGGAAGUGGUGCCGAAACGACCCGUCUGGAGGGACGUAGGGGGACCUGGAACUUCCGGUGGAGCGGUGAAAUGCGUUGAGAUCGGAAGGAACGCCCGUGGCGAAAGCGAGGUCCUGGACGUCUGCUGACGCUGAGACGCGAAAGCUGAGGGGAGCGAACGGGG
rnacentral:rRNA from 1 species